GUAGGGGGUGUGAAUGGUGGACGGAGAGUAGUGUAAGUGGUGCUCUACUGGAUUGGUUACUUACUUGAAGGUUGACGGAGUGUCAACUAUUACUUGAUCAAACUCUGGUGAUGCAAUGGGAAUUUGGCUCCUGAGAGCCAUCCAUAUCCUUAUACUUUGGAAUGAUAUUGCUUAUUGGAUUAUUGUUUCUUCUGAAAAACUUUUACACUCGCUCACUUUGAGAUUUGUUACUUGAAGUAUUAUUGUUCACUUUUAUGAACUCUUGAUGCUCAUUAAUUUGCUACGAUGAUAUUCGUACUUUUAAAAAUGGUCAAUUCGUUAUUUGGAACCUCACUGGGUUUUUAACUCAUUCCAUGCCAUUUGUUUUCCUUACAGGGGUACGAGCGAGGCGUGAGACGUGUACAGACUAGCGUAGUCUAGUUGUUUUGACUUUUGUAAUUGUACUCGUACUAGUCGUUCGAUUAGAGUUGAAUGUACUGAGAACUUAACUCUUUUGAUGUAUUUGGGACUGUAUGGAUGGUUGAGAUAGAAAUGGAUGUAUUCGUAUGUUCCAAACUUGGGAACUAUUAUUUCAUUUAUUAUUGAGAUUGCAUCUUAUUUUAUUUGAUGUGAGUGAGUGAGUCCUGGCGAGAGUUAGGCAGGCGGUCCGCUAAACCCUAGGGUACGCCCAGGGGAAGGUGGGGACGUCACAUUGACCGUGAAUCGGACAUGUCAUCAGUCCGGUCCAAUAUCAAACCCGAAAGUUAAUGAAAAACCGCUAGAAGCCGGACGAACCGUUAAAACCCAUAUAAACCGUAAACCGGUGAUUCUUAAUUUUUCAAGUUCAUUACCUCAAAUUCAAAACAAUAGCAAGAAUGAAGGCUACCAGGAUUCAAACUUGAGUCUCCAUGGCCAUAAUAAAGUAUUCUUACCACUAAACCACAGCUAGAGGACAAGCUCUUGUUGUGAAGAAUUUUACUUAACUAAAAUAAAAAACUAAAAUCAGAUUAAAUAAAAGAAACCCUAUCAUUAAGACAAGACACAGCAAAGUGCAAAUGGCACAUUUCACUUCCUCGGCUUCACUUCAGACUUCCUCGGCUUCUCCAGUUCUCCUCUUGAUUUUUUUUUUAUUUUUUCUUCGUAACCUUUGCACAUCCAAAUAUCCAUGACAGGAUUAUCACGUUAUUAUCGUUAGACGAUUUAUAGGCAAGUUGGAAUUUGGAAACUUCAACUUUCACAAGAUAUUCGAGACUUCAGAGCUUUUCCAUCUUGGUUAGUUUAAUUUUUCCCUUUUGAAGAUUUUUGUUUUCUAUAUUAUCUUUAGUGGAUUCUUUCGUAUUUUCUUCUUUUUUUCCCCCAAUUUUCAUCCAUUUCCUUAUCCCUAAUUGACGUUUUAUUUUUGUUUUAUUAGUUAAGGAUGAAACUAUGAAUCAUGAAUUAUUUUGCAGUCAUGUUUGGAUAAGCUAUUUUUUGGAUGAAGUAUCAAAUUAAUAAAAUUAGACAUGUUUGGUUUCUAAAUUUUGUAUUUUUCGGAAUUAAUCUUUGGUUCCUUUGAUAAAAUUAAUAAAAUUAGACAUGUUUGGAAUUAAUAAAAUUUUUGUUUUAAAUUUUGUAUUUUUCGGAAAUAGAGAAGCCCAGAUGUCUAUUUUUUGUUCCUUUGAUGUUGUUUGUUUGCAUGUAACAUUUGUAUGCUAUGAACUCCAUCUUCUGUGUUUUCUAUCUCGCUAAAGUAAUUAGUCUACCGAGUGCUCAUUCAUCUUGAGUUUUAUAGGUUUCACUGAAGCAACAAAAAUAAAGACAUGUUUUUACUUGUUUAUUAUCUUUUGCAGCUAGUAAUUAAAGUCUACUUCUUCUUUAAGAAUGUAGUUUUAACAGUAAAAACUCUUUACUUUUGGUUUGUUGGUGUACAUGCUUGGCCAUCUAACGAGUUGCAUUUUUAGUUUGAGCACAUGGAUACAAAUACUUGUCUAUUAGUCUAUCAAAGGGACAACGAUCCUUUUGUGCUAGUGCUAAUAAUGUAUAUAUUUUUUAGCUUCACAUAAACAAAUGUUUUGAUUAACAACUAUAUUGGCAUUGCUUUGGGCAAAUUUAGACUCACAUACAUUGGUUGAAAAAAUACAGUUUUGCAUAAUGAUUGGUAAUAUAACAUGUUAAUUAGUGAUGUUUAGUGGCAAUUAAUUUUUUAUGUGUUUAGUUGUAUCUUUGUUUUUCAAAAUUUUUUGGCUUUUUUUUGAGUUAGAGCAAUUAAAUUUAUAUUUUUGUAAUAAAAUUUUAACUUUUUUAGGCUAAGUUGAUGAAAUUGUGAAGAUGGUAUUGUUGCCUAUCAUGCCACUGAUGGAAGUUUGUUAUUGAAAUUGUUUGUUUUAAAUAUGAGUUGGACUUUUUUAUGGACUUUUUUAGGAUUGUAAAAAAAUUUCAACAUUUAUUUUAUUUAUUUUUGUAUUUUUAUUUGUGAUAAUUGGUGAACAUUUGGAUUAUAUCUAUUUAUGUUUGUAAUGAAUUUAUAAAAACUUCUGGUGAAUUAUGAUAUUUUAGUUGUUUUUAUCAUUCCAGGUUUUAUGUAUAACUUUUAGGAAAUUUAUUAUUAUCCCAACUUAAAUUUAGUUAUGUUGGUGAAUUCAUUUUAGGGACUUAAGUUAUCAAUAACCAUGGUAGAUUGUGCAUUAGCCAUCAAGUUCAAGUGUAGAGUGAAGACCUGUGAAGUACUUAGCACUAAAGUUGCAAAAAAAAAAAAAUCGGUGAAUCGGCCGGUCGGACUGCGAACCAACCCCCUCUCUGGUUCGUUGGCCGGUCCGAGUUUAAAAACAUGCCUUUUGCUUGUAUCUUUUAACCACGAAUCUUGCUUUGCAACGAUCUACUUCUCCAGUUGACUUGUACUUGGUCUUGUAUACCCACUUGAUACCAAUUGACUUCUUCCCAUAUGGAAGCGUAGUUAGCUCCCAUGUCUUAUUUUUCUCAAUUGAUAUAUUUUGUCGUCCAUUGCUUGAUUCCAGUGAUCAUCUUUGACGGCCUCCUCAAAGGUAACUGGAUCACAAUAUGCAAAUAAAGCAAAGUUUACAAUAUUUUCAUCAGUCAAUUCAUUAUCGUUACCAACAACAUAAUCCUCCAAGCAAGCUAGCAUGCGCGUUCUCGUUAUGGACAACUGGAUGACUGCAUAGGAUUUGAUUGCAUCCUGGAAGAUGAAGAAUCACCAAUUGUUUGGAUCGCUCUACUGGCUGAUUAGAAGAAUUCCCUUCAUCCAAGUAAAACGGCAUUGGUGGAUUCUUUGGUGUAGAAUCUCUAACUUUCUUAGAUCAAUCCCAAACAUCUUGCUCAUCAAAUGUGACAUAUCUGCUAAUAAUCAUCCUUCCUGUAUUUGGGUUGAACAGUUUGUAAUCUUUGGUUUCAUGACUAUAAUCAAGAAAAAUGCAGUUUUUUGCUUUCUCAUUUAAUUUUUUUUCUAAUAACAUUUGGAACAUGGGAAUAGGCAAGACAAUCAAAUAGUUUUAAAUGAGAAAUAUUUGGUUUCUUACAAGUCCAUAACUCUUGUGGUGUCUUUCCAAAAUUGCAUCACGUAUGAGACAUGUUAGAAAUAUAUACAACGCAAGCAACUGCUUCUGUCCAAAAACCUUUAUGCAUGUUCUUGGCAUGUAUCAUUGAUCUCACCAUACCAAUUAUAGUUCAAUUUUUCCUCUCUGCUACUCCAUUCUGUUGAGGAGUGUAUCUGAUUGUAAACUGAUGUUUAAUUUCAUGUUUCUUCAGAAAAUCAACACAGACAAUAAACUCAGUGCUUCUAUCAGUUCUCAAAAAUUUAAUAAAUUGGUCACCUUACUUCUCAACAUAUACUUUAAAACUCUUUAAAAUAUCACAAGUUUCAGAUUUAUUCUUCAAAGAAUAUACCCAAAUUUUACUGCUAAAAUCAUCAAUGAAGGUAAUAAAAUAGUUACUACCUCCAUUGGAAGAUACCUCUACUAAGCACAGGUCUGAAUGUAUCAAUUCCAACAGACGACUAGCCCUCCAAACCUUGCCUUUAGAAAAGGUCUCUGUGUUUCUUUCCCAAAAUAAAAGACUCGCAGUACUGUGUAGAAAAAUCAAAUAGCAGAUAGUCCAUACAUCAUUUUUUUUUGGCAAGAAAAUUCAAACUCCCAAAAUUCAUAUGACCAAAACGCAUAUGCCACAGCCAAAUAUCAUCAAAAACAAUAGAACUAAACCAAGGUAAAUCAUGACAAUUAAGAGUGAUAGGCCAUAUGUGGCUAGAGUUCAUGUAUACCUUUGCUAUUAGUCCCAAACGAUCAUCACUAAUAGUGCCGUAUUUGAAUCGCAAACCAUAUCCUUUCUCAAUAAGUUGCCCAAGACUCAGUUAUGAUAAAGGUUUGGCACAUAGAAGACAUCAGAGAUAAAAUUAGAUUUUUCAUUCUUCAAAACAAUUCUGAUUUUUCCUUUCCCAAGCACAGUCACUCUUUCAUUGGUGUCAAACUUAACAAAAGAUCUAAAAAAUUCAUUAGCAAACAUAUUUUUGUCAUCACACAUAUGAUUACUGCAACCAGAAUCCAAAACCAAUUUUUCUUUUUAUUUUCUUCCACCCCUGAAUUAGAGAAUAAAAUAGUUUCAACCUUUACACCAUUAUUCUCUACCAUAUUAGUAUGCUCACCUUUAUUAUCAAAAUUAUACCAGCACUCACUUUUAUAACGAACAAUUUUUUUGAAAUUAUGACACUGAAUAUUAUGUCUGCGAGAAUUAUUAUUUUCUAACUCACUAUUGGGAUAAUUAUUGUUACCUUUCUGUUGCUAAAAAUUACCUCUGCCAUGACUUCUAAAACUGCCUCUACUACGGUCUUGUUCUUUUCCUCUAAAAUUUUGAUUUUUCUAACUGAAGCCAUCACCCUUCUCCUUGGAUUUAUCUAUCUGCACCUACAAUACUCUCCCCGCCAUUUCUUUUUCUAUACCGUCUUCCAAAUUUUCAUUAAUUCUCUAUUCAUGAAGAUUUAAUGAAUCUCGCAAUUCUUCAAUGGUCAUAGUUGAGAGAUCUUUUGUCUUUUGAAUCACAGCAACCACAUGAUCAAAUUUCAUGGGUAAAGUAUUGAGAAUUUUUUCUACUAGCACCUCAUCAUUGAGAUCAUAACCAUUGUGUUUGAUCUCAUUUUUUAUAUCAAUCAGUCUGAAAAACUAUAAUUCAAUGGUCUCUGAUUUUUCCAUGGUGAUCAACUCAAAUUUCCUUUUUAACAUCAGUGAAUUAUUUUUCUAAACUAUGUCAACUCCUUUGUAUAUUUUCGCCAAAAUAUCUCAUGCUUGUUUUGAAGUUUUGGCAUUAGCAAAUUUUUCAAAAAUCGAAACAUCAAUUGCCUAAUGGAUUUGAGACAACGCCAUACUUCCUUGUCUCUUGACAUUUUCUUCUUUAUCUGCAGCAAUAUCUUACUGAACAAAUCAAAACAAAUUAUAUGCAUCUAGAUGAGUUUCCAUUUGCAUUCUCCAAAAACUGUAAUCUUUUUUUCCGGUGAGUUUUGGUACUGUACAAAUAAUAUUACUUGACACAGUUGAUGCAGCCAUGUCUUACAAUAAAAGUGGAUCUAAUACCACUAUGAAGGCCUACAAAAACAAUCAAUAAAAGUCACAAAACUUUCACGAUUGAAUGAAACCAUGAGAAGACAAAAUAAAUCCCGAGGCCUGAAUCUUUUCUUUCUCUGAUGGACCAAAACCUAUGGUGUAUAUAUCAACUACCAAAUACCAAAAUCCAAUUGAAAUUUAAAUUACCAAAUCAUACUAAGAAUAGAAAAUCACAACUAAACAAUAAACUAAAUCCUAAACAGACUUGGUUUAAUAAUCCUACAUGAUUCAAUCUCAAUCUGUUGAGCAAUGGAUCUGGUACCAAAUGCCAAUUGAAACUAACAAGAAGGUUGUUGAGAAUUGGGACAGGAGUCCCACACAGCAAAUUGACGGAACAACCAAAGAAAUAGUUUCAUUUCAUGUUACAUUACAAGCUGAUAUUAUGUAAGAAAUAGUUUCAAUUCAGUCUGUUUCUUUCCUGCAGCCACUUUGCUUCUUAUCCUCCCCAGCUUGUCUUUACUCAAGUCGUAAUGCUUUUGAGACUCAAAUACAAGGGCAGGCUGACAACCCCUGCAGGUAAAUUGCAUUCCAUAACUCUAUGAUCGUCUCCUUAUGAUUAACGUAAAUUGCAGGUACAGUCAUACCCAACACAACCCCUGCAUGCAGCCAUGCAUAAUCCCAUAACGAACACAAAUAUCUUCUCCUUAAAAUCAAUAAAACAACAAUAAUUAAUCUGGCAAGACUCACCCAUGUAAACAAUGGUAAGCAAAUCAAAAUGGGUAGCUAUCCACGAAAGUAACCCCAGAGCACCUACAGUUGCCCCAAACACAGACCAUUCCCUUUCCACACCCACCCGAAACAGCCAUCGAAUGCCUUCGUCAAUCCAUUCCCGAAUCCCACGCCCCAUUCCUUCAGCCCGCGACUCGCUUAUCUCGAUCCCUGAAAGGUCCAGGUCCUCACUGAUAAAACACAAGUAAUUAAUCAAGCAUUUUUUUUUAAGAAAAAAGAAAACUAACUGCUGAUGGAUAAUUAAUUACAAAAAAAAAACAUACUAGCUGAUGAAUUCUUACUUUUUGAGGAGUCUAUGAAUAUUGCCCCAAACAAAGAUAAGUGUAACAAGGAGCAUGGCCACCCGCGAGACAACUUCUACCACGUGAUACUGAUAGAGUUGGAGUGUUACCCAAGUUGCCGUGGCCACCAAAAGAACAAGGAUGCUUAGAUACAUGCUUCUCCAGAAUAACAAGUCCAUUACUAAAGUCGCAACUAGUUUAAUGAACAAAUUAGUCAUUGAAUUUCAAAACCUAAUUAAGUAUAUACGUAUUUUAUCUAUCCUGUUGCUGUAAGAUUAUAUGACAUACCUGCAGCAUGCGGGGUCUGCACCCCGACGGCUAUAGGAGGUAAAGUGUCGUCGACGGGCAUUUCCUUGGGAGAAAAUCAAGGCAAAGUAAUGAGUAGUAGUAUUAUGGAAUUGAUCAAAGCCAAUUGCAACCGUGUAUAGGGCAAUUCAAAAGCUUUUCUUUUUAUUUCCAAUUUCUUUUUUUUUUUUUUAAAUUGUAACUCAAGCUGCAAAAUAAAAGAUUAGUAAUCGUGGUACGAGCCAGGGAGAGGAGGAAGGUGAACACAAUAAUCUAAUCUUACAUUGCCAAUGACAACGGUAGAGUAUAAUAUAUGUCAAACAACAAAAACACACAUGAACACAAUGAAUGAACAUACUUUAGCAGUAAAUAUAAAAUUGUGAUAAUUUUUUUUAUUUUGCAUAAUUUUUAAAAACUUGUGCAUAAAACAAAAUUCUAACUCUAUUCAAAAACAUAUAAUCUCACAUCACGAGUUACACACUACAAUUGACUAGUAAUUGUAGAGGCCCCUCAUCUACAGGUGUGUCGUUUCUACCCUUUACUAUUCCUCAAAUUCCACCUAGAUAUUUUAUAAUGUUAAUUAUCUAUGUCACUGAAAGGCUAAAAGCACAAAUAGAGAGGGAAAAAUCGAAAAAGAGAGAGAAAGAAUCCAGCCUUCCUAACAAUUUCCUAAUUAUUUAAAAAAAUUAUUUGAGGCAUUUUCAAGGUGCAAAUUUUUUUUCUAAUUAUAAAAAAUUUUAUUUUGCAUUUCUUGUCCGGACUAAUGACUUCUAAAAUUUCAAAAGGUCAUUCAAUCUCAUCCAUAUGUUGUAACUCUUAAGGACUUAACCUAAUGUGUUAUGAAAACUAAAAGUCCACAAGAAAAGGGUAAUUUUGGAAUAGAAAUGAUUUUUUACUCCGAAAAUGAGUUUUUAAGCCAUAUCUUUUGAAAUGGGUUGAUAAUGUUACAAAAAGUUGAAAAUAAGGGAGGUAUGUGAGAUUUUUCAAGAUUCAGGGUAACCAAAUGAUGUUUGUUAUAAACUUCAGGGGAAGUUUUUGAAAUUAUCCCAUUUUAUAAUGUUAAUUAUCUAAGGGUGCGUCUGAUAAAUCUGAAAUUUGAAAUCUGAAAUUUGAAGUCUGAAUUCAUUAAAUUAUUGAAUUGUUAAAUAUUAAAUCUAAUGCAUUUGAAAGCACAUCACAUUCAGUGAUAAGUGAAUAACUUAUUAAGUGCUGAAUUGGGUUAUUUAAAUCACGAAAAAGCUAAAAGCACAAAAGGAUGGUGAAAAAAAGUGGGAAAGAAAGGAUCUACCAACGGAAAGAAAAUGUCUUAAAAUUGCUUCCAGGAACUUUCCAUGCAUGUGUUUUUGGGUCCAACGACAGUAAUGACUUCUUCUCGAUACAUUUGACAAGGAAGAUCAGGCUUGUUGGUAUUCAUUAUUGGGCGAUACCAAAAAGAAAAGGAAAAGACUAGAAAGCAGAAAUCAAGUCUCCACCACAACUCUUGACAUAAUCAGGCUUGUUGUCUUAAAAACUGGUUUUAAGUGUUUGGAUCCCCUGUUUAAUGACAUUUUUGCUUGCAUGCAUGCAUGCGUCCUGCAAUUAUAAUAACGACCAUUUUGAUACAUUCCGAAAGGGAUCUUGAGCCAAUUUAAACACAUGCCUGUUUGUCACCAAGAAAGGUAACAUAAUGGUUUCAUUCUACUUAACAUGAUGAUACCUAUCACAUACAGUUCCACAAAAUACAGAUAUAAAGUGAUGGCACAUAUAUAAUAUAUUCAGCAAGAAAGACAAUAAUGUUAAGCUACCAUAACAAAAUCUACUUGCAACAUAAAAAAUCCAAAAUAGAAUCACAUGACUACACUAUUAACACACCUACUUCAUAUGUGACUACACGCAAGCUAACACUUGAAAAACCCUCUUAACGAUUGCUUAUUGGAUAUCCGUCAGUCAAACAAUUUUAUAUUAUAGUAAUGUUAUUAUCUAGGGUUCUUGUGCCGCUGGGACUACUGUUAAUCCUUACGGCCAUAUGGUAUUGCUUGCUUGUUCACAAACAUGGCGCCAUAAUUUCAACAAGUUUACUUAAACCAGCAGCACGUUUCUUAACUUAAAAAUCACCCCACUUACGGCC
rnacentral:lncRNA from 1 species